AGCAGCCGCGGUAAUUCCAGCUCCAAUAGCGUAUAUUAAAGUUGUUGCAGUUAAAAGCUCGUAGUUGAAUUUCGGGAUCAAGUCGUCGGUCGUGCCUCGGUACGCACUGGUGACAUUGGCUUCUCCCUUCUGAAGAACCUUGAUGUCAUUAAUUUGGUGUCUUGGGGAAUCAGGACUGUUACUUUGAAAAAUUAGAGUGUUUAAAGCAGGCUCACGCUUGAAUACAUUAGCAUGGAAUAAUGAAAUAGGACGUUUGAUUCUAUUUUGUUGGUUUCUAGGAUCGACGUAAUGAUUAAUAGGGAUAGUUGGGGGCAUUAGUAUUCAAUUGUCAGAGGUGAAAUUCUUGGAUUUAUUGAAGACUAACUACUGCGAAAGCAUUUGCCAAGGAUGUUUUCAUUAAUCAAGAACGAAAGUUAGGGAUCGAAGACGAUCAGAUACCGUCGUAGUCUUAACCAUAAACUAUGCCGACUAGGGAUCGGAUGAUGUUAAUUUUUAAUGACUCAUUCGGCGCCUUAAC
rnacentral:rRNA from 1 species